rnacentral:rRNA from 1 species
GACGAACGCUGGCGGCGUGCUUAACACAUGCAAGUCGAACGGAAAGGCCCUGCUUUUGUGGGGUGCUCGAGUGGCGAACGGGUGAGUAACACGUGAGUAACCUGCCCUUGACUUUGGGAUAACUUCAGGAAACUGGGGCUAAUACCGGAUAGGAGCUCCUGCUGCAUGGUGGGGGUUGGAAAGUUUCGGCGGUUGGGGAUGGACUCGCGGCUUAUCAGCUUGUUGGUGGGGUAGUGGCUUACCAAGGCUUUGACGGGUAGCCGGCCUGAGAGGGUGACCGGCCACAUUGGGACUGAGAUACGGCCCAGACUCCUACGGGAGGCAGCAGUGGGGAAUAUUGCACAAUGGGCGGAAGCCUGAUGCAGCAACGCCGCGUGCGGGAUGACGGCCUUCGGGUUGUAAACCGCUUUCGCCGGUGACGAAGCGUGAGUGACGGUAAUGGGUAAAGAAGCACCGGCUAACUACGCG